GUUUCUGUAGUGUAGUGGUCAUCACAUUGGCCUUACACGCGAAAAGGCCCCGGUUCGAAGCCGGGCAGAAAUA